UGUCGUCGGAGACGAGAGAAGACGAC
rnacentral:snRNA from 1 species